rnacentral:rRNA from 1 species
AUGUUAAGAUUGUUACUUCUUCUCUGGAACUUGUUCGAUCCUUUAUUUGCGACGGAAGCACUCGUCUUCGCUUCCUUCUAUAGCGAAGCUAGUGUUACUAUGUUAGGUGGUAUGAAUAUGAUGGGCGAUGACGACCUGUCCCGCGCCGUAGCCCCGUAUCUCCCGCAGGGAGGUCAGGCUCCAGUAAAUAUUCCCGAAGGACGACCGCUUAUAGUGGAAGAGGAAGGCCGUCUUGCCCUGGUGUUGGAUUUGCAAAAUCAGAUUGGCACUCUUCUCAAGAAUAUCGAUCUGAACUCGUUCCAGAACCAUCACUUUGAAGAGGAAAGCGCCUCUGAUCUCGCCGCGGCGGCCCUACUCCAUAAAGAAGAAUAUCUCAAUGACCACACAAAGUUAUGGGAAGUGCGUGAAGGGCUUAAUCGUUAUAGAGACAGCUCUAGGUUCUACUUUCGCGUGGUAAAAUGGGUAAAGGUCGAGAGAAAGGUUCGUAGCGGGGAGUUGCCAAGAAUGUUCAUCAUUGAUGAUGACGGCGAGGGAGAAGGAUAG